UCCCAAGGGCUAUGCAUAUUGCCUGACUUCAGUUUUGUGAAAACAAAAGCUGUAUCUUUAAGAAAUUCAACUCAAACAUCAGCUUUUGAAACCAAGGUUCAGCAAACAAGAGCCAAUAAAAAUGCUGUAACUUGAAACCAACCCACACAGCACAAAAAGAAAGGAGAGAGGUCUGCCCGGGUCGCCCUCAACACACCCUUCUAACUUGGUUCUAGAACAGCAGUGCCCAGUUUGCAAGACAAGAAGCUAAUUGACUCGAAUGUCUGCUGCAUAAGCUAUAAAAUAAGUACAUAAAGAACAAUAUGAACAUACAGCGCCAUCAGUUACAUAAAAAGGCCUGACUGUCCGACGCCACACUGUGCACCGAACAAGCACAGCAAUUGUUUCAGCGGGCUGCACGGAGGAAGAAUGAAUAAUUAGCGUCCUUGUGAAUCAAGUCUCCACCAGGAAGAGAGCUCCAUCCUGCAGCAGUGGCACGGCAGCACCCUCAGCCCGCCAGAGUCAAGCUGGGGUUUUUAAACGUCUUUAUUGACAAUCAGGAUGCAGGCAAACAUAUUCUUCAGCCAAGUAAACCGACAACUAGCUCCACUGUGGUCACUGCUCAUUGGCUGGAACACCCGCUUCUUGUCUAAAGUCUCACCAACUGCUACUUUCCAUUACCAGGAAAUGUCAUUUUCCCUCACUUGUUUAUUUUUGCAUUGGCUAGGAAUACAACAACUUCUGCUAAAGGUGGAGGGGCUGUGACAAAAGCAUCCAUUUGAGCUGUCCUGGCACAACAGGCACAACACAAGAAGUCCCUAAACGUUUCUUUCCAGAGAGUAUGAGUAGAGGGAAGCAAGGAAUGAAGUGAAGGAUUUGAUGGAGUUAAGUAACUGACCCAAGGUUUGCAAAACCGGUAAGAGGUGAACCAUGAUUUGAACCCAAACAGGUUGAUUUCAAAUCCCAUGCUAAUUUAUCACACCGUGAUUGUUAUAUUACUCUCACUUAUGUCUAUUUCCCACUCUGCUGUUCAUUUCUGGAAAAUUACUUAGUCACACUGUUUUAUUUGCAGGACAAAAACCACUAUGGAUUCCCCACUAUGGAGGACCCAGAGUUGACAGGGAAAGUGUAAUCCAAGGUACAAAGUCCCACAACUUUAUGUACUUCUCCAAGGAACUAUUUUCUCCUGAAAGGUUUGGUGAGUUCGAAGAUGUGACAGAGACCUACAAGAGCCCAGAAAGUGGUAAUAUUUUUGAGUGGUAAGUAAAAAUAUGUUCAACCUAACUAGGAACAAGAGAAUAUAGUUAAAUAAUGUGCUCACUUUUCACCCAUUUUCACCCACUGAAUGAGCUAGCAAACCUUCUCGAAAAGUAAUUUGACAUGCUGUGCUUCCAGUUUAAUAUCUAAGAACUCUUUGCCUAACUCAAGGUCAUGAAGACUUUUUAUUAUGUUGUGCUAAAAGAUUUAGCUUAACCUUCUACACUUUAGCCUAGGAUCCAUUUUGAGUUAAAUUCUAUGUACCGUGUGCGGUAAGAAUUUAAAUUUACCUUUUUUGCAUGUGGAUAUCCAAUUGUCCUAGCACUAUUCAUUGAAAAGACUAUUGAAUUGAAUUGCUUUUGAAUUGCUUUGGUACCUCUGUAGAGAAAUCAAUUGACAAUAAUGUAAUGGUUUAUUUCUAGACUCUCAAUUCUGUACCAUUAUCUAUGCUUACACCACUGUCUAUCCUUACACCAGUAACACACUGAUUUGAAUAGUAUAGCUUUGUAGUAAGUUUUGAAACUAAGAAAUAUAAGACCCCUAAUCUUUUUUUCUUCCCUUUCCGAAUUGUUUUGUUUAUUCUAGGUCAUCUACAUUUCUAUACUGUUAGAAACAGCUUGACAAUUUUUUUUAAAAAGAUGCAUACUAAAAUUGUAUAAGGAUUGCACUGAAUCUACAAAUCAUUUUAGGAAGAUUUAACAAUAUUGAGUCUUCCAAUCCAUGAACAUGGGAUAACUCUCAUUUAGCAAUAAACUAGUCUUGCACUGAUUUUAUUAAAUUUAUUCCUCAGAAUUGUGUUCAUAAUGUGGGUUUCAGAUUGCUUGGUGCUAGUAUGUAAAAAUACAAUUGAUUUUUGUAUACUAAUCUUUUAUCCUGUAAGGUUGCUGAACUCAUUAGUCGGUUCGUACUUUGGGGGAAUCGGGAUUGGGCAUGUGUUCCUUUAGGUUUUCUAGUACAGGCUCAAUUCAUCUGAAAAUAAAGAGAGUUUUCUUUCUUUCUUCCCAAUCCGGAUGCCUUUGAUUUCUGAACCUGCAGUACAAUUUUAAAUAUAAGUAGCAAAAGUGGACAUCUCUGCCUGGCUUCAGAUCUUAACAGGAAGCCACAUUAAUAAAGUGCAUGAAGAAGCAGUCCACCCAAGCUAUUAUCUUUCUUGAAGACUUUACGAAACAGAACUGGCUAAAUAUUUUCUUAUACUGAUGAACCAUGAUCACAUACAAAUAAAAAACGUACUUAGAAACUUUAAAAAA
rnacentral:lncRNA from 1 species